rnacentral:rRNA from 1 species
AAGACCUUGCGCUUUUGGAGCGGCCGAUGCCUGAUUAGCUUGUUGGUAAGGUAAAAGCUUACCAAGGCUUCGAUCAGUAGCUGGUCUGAGAGGACGGCCAGCCACACUGGGACUGAGACACGGCCCAGACUCCUACGGGAGGCAGCAGUGGGGAAUUUUGGACAAUGGGGGCAACCCUGAUCCAGCCAUGCCGCGUGAGUGAAGAAGGCCUUCGGGUUGUAAAGCUCUUUCAGCCGGAACGAAACGGUUACGGUUAAUACCCGUGAUUACUGACGGUGCCGGAAGAAGAAGCACCGGCUAACUACGUGCCAGCAGCCGCGGUAAUACGUAGGGUGCGAGCGUUAAUCGGAAUUACUGGGCGCAAAGCGUGCGCAGGUGGUUUUGUAAGUCAGAUGUGAAAGCCCCGGGCUCAACCUGGGAACU